GCGGCGUAAAUCUAAACUCACUCACUCACUCAGUUGUACUAGGAUCUUUUUGUGCAGAUGGGCCCUGACCUGUGACAUUGUUACCAGUGCUUUUGAAGUCUUAUAUCUUCAGGUUUGAGAUAGAAAGAAUCAAUUUGAUAUUUGUAACAGGCUUAAGAGGCAUUCAGUCAAAAUUACUUGUUGUUACUUUUAUGUGCUCAGAUUUGGCAUUGGAUGACGCUCAUGUGUGAGAAUUAGACACUUGACAAGUGACAGGUGUCUAGUUCCGUACCAGGUUCGGUUGCAAUACAACUGUACACAAUUCCACAGUAAACAUCACUCCUGCUGUGGACAUAUCAUAAUGUAUAUGUUAAUGGUGUACGUUCUGUGCAUACGGCUGGCGCUGCGACUGUCAAAUGGAAACAUUUGGAACAUUUGUAAUUUAUUGUAGACUGUACUUUCAUUAACACAGAACGUUCUCAGCUGAAUAUGAACACUUACCAUUACCAUGUGAUUUGUACAGCAGUCAUAUUGGAUUACGUUUAGCAAAUACGAAUAUGGGUUGGAUUACCCGAGGAAUACUGACUCCUUCGUUACUGUUUUGAAUACAUGAGGAAUGUGUCUUUUACCUUGUAUUUCCAUUGUGUUUGUUUAUUAAAUAUUAAUAAGAUGUCGGAUGAGUGAACAAUAUUUUAUUGAAAAUUAACACUUGUCUCAGAAAACAAAUCUGUUCUCAUUUAUGCAGCAUGUCGUAUUAGAUAACAUAUUCAGGAGAAUGAUUUAUGUGGAGACUUUCAGUUAGAAAUAUUUGCAUCAUCAGCAGAAGAUAUGGUAAUCGAUUGAUGGUAUAAACAGAAAUGUAAGUUAAUCAACACCUUAACCUAUGAUUGUGAUGGUAAAUGUUGGACAUAUGUGUCAACAUUCUGACAAGUUUCUUAUUUUAUUUUCUUAUGUUUAAUUGUCACAGCUUAAAACCAGGGUCCUAAUCCACAAAGCGUUCGUAACGUUACGACCUGUCGUAACUGUAUUACAACCUAUCAUAGCUCUGUAGUUUAUCAUAGGCUUACGAAUGUCGUAGCUCUGCAAACCCUUUGUGGAUCGGGACCCAGCUUGUUUCACUUUAUGACCGAAAUGUAAAGCUGGGUCUUAAUUCUAAAUACUGGUUCUGUAUCACGGUAAGCAAACAGAUCUUUGCUUGUUUGAAGUUCUGUCAGAUCAGUCAUAUAAUUUUGCUUUUGUUGAAACUUGUGUGGUUAAUGUAGCCCAAUUAAAGUACCUUAGGCUUCAAAUGUGAUCGUGGAAAUAUUUUCUCAAUAUUAUAUUCCUCACUAGCAGUCAAGGGAAGCAACUCUUGAUGUAUGUGUCAUCAAGGGAAGCAACUCUUGGUGUAUAUACAUUCAAGGGCAACAUCUGGAGGUGAAUGUGAAAUCAAGGGCAGCAACUCUUGAUACAGUCAAGGACGGCAACUCUUGAAACAGUCAGGGGAGGCAACUCUUGAUACAGUCAAGGGAGGCAACCUUUGUUGGAGUCAAGGAAAGCAAGUCCUGGUGCUGUCAAAGGCAGUAACUCUUGAUGCAGUCAAGCAAAGCAACUCUUGAUACAGUCAAAGGAGGCAACUCUUGAUGCAGUCAAGGGAGGCAACUCUUGAUGCAGUCAAGGGAGGCAAAUCUUGAUCCUGUCAAGGGAAGCAACUCUUGACAUACUGCAGUAUGAAGGAAGCAACUCAAAAAUGGCAGCAUUCUGCUGGUCAUGUAUAGCUUUUAUGCAUAUGUUAUUGAAUGCUUUUGAAUCCUUACACGCUUCAGUAAUAUUUGUGUACCUUUUCCUGGUCUAAUAUACAUAGUACUAUUCUUGUAACUCCUGAGUGACGAUGCAAAACAUUGUUAAUAAUACAAGUACUUCUUUAACAAACACAUAUGUAAUUAAGUUGGACAUUUUGGGAUUUAUUUUACUGGGGUGAUCUGUAGACUUGUGAACCAGUACACUGAUACCAUACAUUUGUAAACAAUGUGUUAAUCUACAAAA